UAGGGAAUAUUGGUAAUGGGCGAAAGCCCGAACCAGAAACGCCGCGUGCGCGAUGAAGGCCUUCAGGUUGUAAAGCGCUUUUUAAGGGGAUGAGGAAGGACAGUACUCUUAGAAUAAGCGUCGGCUAACUACGUGCCAGCAGCCGCGGUAAAACGUAGGAGGCGAGCGUUAUCCGGAUUUACUGGGCGUAAAGCGUGUGUAGGCGGUUUGAUAAGUUGAAUGUGAAAGCUCCCGGCUCAACUGGGAGAGGUCGUUCAAAACUAUCAGACUUGAGAGUGGUAGAGGGAGGUGGAAUUCCGCGUGUAGUUGUGAAAUGCGUAGAUAUGCGGAGGAACACCAGUGGCGAAAGCGGCCUCCUGGCCCAUUUCUGCCGCUCAGACACGAAAGCUAAGGUAGCAAACG
rnacentral:rRNA from 1 species